CAGGGAUUGCCUUAGUAACGGCGAGUGAAGCGGCAAAAGCUCAAAUUUGAAAUCUAGCACUUUCAGUGUUCGAGUUGUAAUUUGAAGAAGGUAACUUUGGAAUUGGCUCUUGUCUAUGUUCCUUGGAACAGGACGUCACAGAGGGUGAGAAUCCCGUGCGAUGAGAUGUCCAAUUCUAUGUAAAGUGCUUUCGAAGAGUCGAGUUGUUUGGGAAUGCAGCUCUAAGUGGGUGGUAAAUUCCAUCUAAAGCUAAAUAUUGGCGAGAGACCGAUAGCGAACAAGUACAGUGAUGGAAAGAUGAAAAGAACUUUGAAAAGAGAGUGAAAAAGUACGUGAAAUUGUUGAAAGGGAAGGGCUUGAGAUCAGACUUGGUAUUUUGUGUUCCUUAUCCUUCUUGGAUUAGGUUCCUCACAGCUUACCGGGCCAGCAUCGGUUUGGAUGGCAGGAUAAUGACAUUGGAAUGUAGCUUUGCUUCGGUGAAGUGUUAUAGACUUUGUUGAUACUGCCUAUCUAGACCGAGGACUGCGUCUUUGACUAGGAUGCUGGCGUAAUGAUCUUAAGCCGCCCGUCUUGAAACACGGACC
rnacentral:rRNA from 1 species